rnacentral:rRNA from 1 species
AACCNUGUGACGUUACCAAACUGUUGCCUCGGCGGGAACUCAUGCCCCGNGNNCGUCGCAGCCCCGGACCAAGGCGCCCGCCGGAGGACCAACCAAAACUCUUUUUGUAUACCCCCUCGCGGGUUUUUUAUAAUCUGAGCCUUCUCGGCGCCUCUCGUAGGCGUUUCGAAAAUGAAUCAAAACUUUCAACAACGGAUCUCUUGGUUCUGGCAUCGAUGAAGAACGCAGCGAAAUGCGAUAAGUAAUGUGAAUUGCAGAAUUCAGUGAAUCAUCGAAUCUUUGAACGCACAUUGCGCCCGCCAGUAUUCUGGCGGGCAUGCCUGUCCGAGCGUCAUUUCAACCCUCGAACCCCUCCGGGGGGUCGGCGUUGGGGAUCGGCCUUCCUUCACGGGGGCCGUCUCCGAAAUACAGUGGCGGUCUCGCCGCAGCCUCUCCUGCGCAGUAGUUUGCACACUCGCAUCGGGAGCGCGGCGCGUCCACAGCCGUUAAACACCCAACUUCUGAAAUGUUGACCUCGGAUCAGGUAGGAAUACCCGCUGAACUUAAGCAUAUCAAUAAGCG